UACAGAGGGGGCAAGCGUUGUUCGGAAUUACUGGGCGUAAAGGGCGCGUAGGCGGCCUGUUAAGUCGAACGUGAAAUCCCCGGGCUCAACCCGGGAACUGCGUCCGAUACUGGCAGGCUUGAAUCCGGGAGAGGGAUGCGGAAUUCCAGGUGUAGCGGUGAAAUGCGUAGAUAUCUGGAGGAACACCGGUGGCGAAGGCGGCGUCCUGGACCGGCAUUGACGCUGAGGCGCGAAAGCCAGGGGAGCAAACGGG
rnacentral:rRNA from 1 species